GCAGGGUCAAAGGUCAGGCUUUGCUCCAUUUCAUGAACAGGACUCAGAUGAAUGGAUCCAGUUCAAGUCUUUCAGAGACCAGUCAGACGGAGGAACUGAAUCCACUGACCUUCUUUCCAUAAACAGCUCCCAUUCUUCCAGCGCUCUGCUCGCUCCUCUUCACGUCCGAACCAGAACCAGAACCUUCACAGCAGAUCCAGUCUGGGUCUGUCAGUCCAGCACAGUCAGGGGGAGCCGGGUCAUACCAACAGAACCGAAGAGGUCCGGAGGAGGAGGAGGAGGUGUCCCUGCCACCUGCUCCCACAUGACUCUGUGCUCUCAGCUGUGAGGAGUUAAGAUCUUCAGACCAGAUUAAAGUAAUCAGAGGAGACAAGGAGCCAGAGACCAGUAAAGUCUGGACCUGGACUCUUCUGCACUACCUGACAAACACCUGAACUCUGGUCCACCUCAGACCAGACAGGACCUGAUCCACUUCAGUCCUGCUGUAAACCCAGUCCUCCGGACAGAACCCUUCAUCUGCAGGAUCCGGGUCACUUCCUGUCGUCAGGUGUGUACCUGUGACAGCCUGCUGGGUCACUUCCUGUCGUCAGGUGUGUACCUGUGACAGCCUGCUGGGUCACUUCCUGUCGUCAGGUGUGAAAAUAACUCAACACAACAUGCAGGUUUUACAUCGACUUUUAUACAAUAAAUAAAAUCUGUUUUUAAAUCAAACCUGCGGACAUGAAGUCACACAUGAUGAGGUCAUACAUGAUGAAAUCACACAUGAUGAGGUCAUACAUGAUUAAAUCACACAUGAUGAGGUCACACAUGAUGAGGUCACACAUGAACAUUUUGUUUGUUUUCAGACAGGAAGUAGUUUUUUUCCAGACAGGAAGUAGCAGAGGUUUGCAGGAUUUAAUCUGCGUUAACACGGACGUCCCGCUGGCAGACUCUGCUCCGCCCACUUCUCUACUGCUCUGCAGUGGGUGGAGCCUCUGCCUCCUCCUGG